rnacentral:rRNA from 1 species
UGCCAGACUCCUACGGGAGGCAGCAGUGGGGAAUAUUGCACAAUGGGGGAAACCCUGAUGCAGCGACGCCGCGUGAGCGAUGAAGUAUUUCGGUAUGUAAAGCUCUAUCAGCAGGGAAGAAGAUGACGGUACCUGACUAAGAAGCCCCGGCUAACUACGUGCCAGCAGCCGCGGUAAUACGUAGGGGGCAAGCGUUAUCCGGAUUUACUGGGUGUAAAGGGAGCGUAGACGGCGAUGCAAGCCAGAUGUGAAAGCCCGGGGCUCAACCCCGGGACUGCAUUUGGAACUGUGUGGCUGGAGUGUCGGAGAGGCAGGCGGAAUUCCUAGUGUAGCGGUGAAAUGCGUAGAUAUUAGGAGGAACACCAGUGGCGAAGGCGGCCUGCUGGACGAUGACUGACGUUGAGGCUCGAAAGCGUGGGGAGCAAACAGGAUUAGAUACCCCCGUAUGC